rnacentral:rRNA from 1 species
UACGAAGGGUGCAAACGUUGCUCGGAAUUAUUGGGCGUAAAGCGCACGUAGGCGGCUUAGCAAGUUGGAUGUGAAAUCCCUCGGCUCAACCAAGGAAGUGCAUCCAAAACUGCUGAGCUUGAGUACUAAAGAGGAUCGCGGAAUUCCCGGUGUAGAGGUGAAAUUCGUAGAUAUCGGGAGGAACACCAGUGGCGAAGGCAGCCCCCUGGGCUAACACUGACGCUCAUGCACGAAAGCGUGGGGAGCAAACAGG